rnacentral:rRNA from 1 species
ACGUACACUCCUACGGGAGGCAGCAGUGAGGAAUAUUGGACAAUGGGUGGAAGCCUGAUCCAGCCAUCCCGCGUGCAGGAAGACGGCCCUAUGGGUUGUAAACUGCUUUUAUCUGGGGAUAAACCUACUUACGUGUAAGUAGCUGAAGGUACCAGAAGAAUAAGCACCGGCUAACUCCGUGCCAGCAGCCGCGGUAAUACGGAGGGUGCAAGCGUUAUCCGGAUUUAUUGGGUUUAAAGGGUCCGUAGGCGGACUGAUAAGUCAGUGGUGAAAUCCGACAGCUUAACUGUCGAACUGCCAUUGAUACUGUUAGUCUUGAGUAAGGUUGAAGUGGCUGGAAUAAGUAGUGUAGCGGUGAAAUGCAUAGAUAUUACUUAGAACACCAAUUGCGAAGGCAGGUCACUAAGUCUUAACUGACGCUGAUGGACGAAAGCGUGGGGAGCGAACAGGAUUAGAAACCCGGGUAGUCC